rnacentral:rRNA from 1 species
GACGAACGCUGGCGGCGUGCCUAAUACAUGCAAGUCGAGCGCAGGAAGCUGACGGAACUCUUCGGAGGGAAGGCAGUGGAAUGAGCGGCGGACGGGUGAGUAACACGUAAGGAACCUGCCUCAAGGAUUGGGAUAACUCCGAGAAAUCGGAGCUAAUACCGGAUAGUUCAACGGACCGCAUGGUCCGCUGAUGAAAGGCGCUUCGGCGUCACCUUGAGAUGGCCUUGCGGUGCAUUAGCUAGUUGGUGGGGUAACGGCCUACCAAGGCGACGUUGCAUAGCCGUCCUGGGAGGGUGAUCGGCCACACUGGGACUGAGACACGGCCCAGACUCCUACGGGAGGCAGCAGUAGGGAAUCUUCCACAAUGGACGAAAGUCUGAUGGAGCAACGCCGCGUGAGUGAUGAAGGUUUUCGGAUCGUAAAACUCUGUUGUAAGGGAAGAACACGUACGAGAGGGAAUGCUCGUACCUUGACGGUACCUUACGAGAAAGCUACGGCUAACUACGUGCCAGCCGCCGCGGUAA